GAACUUGUUUAAAAGGUGUUCUAACUCAAGCAGGAGUGUGAUCGACUCUUGGAGUGAUUUUAGCUGACCGGUGGAAGCUCUUGAAGACUCGACUUGAGGGUUGGAGCCUUGUGGAGCUGAUUAUUGCGGCUUCUUGUGACUAUUUGGAGCUUAGUACUAGAGCCAUCUACAGAAGAGGCUAGGGAUCGUGG